rnacentral:rRNA from 1 species
GACGAACGCUGGCGGCGUGCUUAACACAUGCAAGUCGAACGAAGUGGCGAACGGGUGAGUAACGAGUAAUCAACCUGCCCUUAAGAGGGGGACAACAGUUGGAAACGACUGCUAAUACCGCAUACUGAAGGAGGUGAUUGCGUCUGAGUUGCUAGUUGGAGGGGUAACGGCCCACCAAGGCGAAGAUCAGUAGCCGGUCUUAGAGGGAGAACGGCCACAUUGGGACGGGGACACGGCCCAGACUCCGACGGGGGGCAGCAGUGGGGAAUCUUCCGAAAUGGACGAAAGUCUGACGGAGCAACGCCGCGUGAGUGAUGACGGCCUUCGGGUUGUAAAGCUCUGUUAAUCGGGACGCGGUACCGGAAUAGAAAGCCACGGCUAACUACGUGCCAGCAGCCGCGGUAAUUC